UGGGGAAUAUUGCACAAUGGGGGAAACCCUGAUGCAGCCAUGCCGCGUGUGUGAAGAAGGCCUUCGGGUUGUAAAGCACUUUCAGCGAGGAGGAAAGGUUGAUGCCUAAUACGUAUCAACUGUGACGUUACUCGCAGAAGAAGCACCGGCUAACUCCGUGCCAGCAGCCGCGGUAAUACGGAGGGUGCAAGCGUUAAUCGGAAUUACUGGGCGUAAAACGCACGCAGGCGGUUGUAUAAGUUAGAUGUGAAAGCCCCGGGCUCAACCUGGGAAUUGCAUUUAAAACUGUCCAGCUAGAGUCUUGUAGAGGGGGGUAGAAUUCCAGGUGUAGCGGUGAAAUGCGUAGAGAUCUGGAGGAAUACCGGUGGCGAAGGCGGCCCCCUGGACAAAGACUGACGCUCAGGUGCGAAAGCGUGGGGAGCAAACA
rnacentral:rRNA from 1 species